GGACAGGUGGCGGAGUGGUCGAUCGCGCACGCUUGGAAAGCGUGUGUACGUGAAAGCGUACCGAGGGUUCGUACCGAGGGUUCGAAUCCCUCUCUGUCCGCCA
rnacentral:tRNA from 1 species